AAUUUUGUUAUUGGCUUUUAUUAUUGUUGCUUCAGGAUUUUUUUGGGUUUAAAUAAUAAUAGAGAUCCAGAAGCAAUAAGGAACUUAUCCUUCCAGUUUAUUCAGUAAAGCUAGGGUUUUUUUUGUUUAAUAUCAUUGUAACUGAUGUGAAAAUCUUCAAUAAAUGUAUUUCAAUCAAAACAUUGUAUUUUAAUGAAAAUCCAAGUCACAACUAGAGAGGUUUUAUGUAAUACAGUCGCAAUGUGUGCGCAUUGUUUGUCACAAACCUUGGAUCUCCCUUUCUGCUCCCCUUUUUAAAAAUAAAACUCAACACCUUACAGAAGAGAAAAAAUGUGUAUGCUACAAAAAUUGUCAAAUCUGUGUAAUCAGGAAUAUACCAUCCAUCUAUAGCAUGUUUACAAAAACCAACGAUUCAAAGCCUAUAGUUAAAAAAGCAAUAAACUGUCAAGAAAGCUCAAAACUCCAAAAUUUUGCUGUUUGCACUUAUAUAUAGGAUCAACGAUGCGAAAAAAAAAGGCAAGAGAUCGCUAUGGUGGUCAAAUGUGGUGAGGUAUGUAAAUGACUGAUGUUUCAAUCAAUGAAGAGAAAAAUGACAAUAGUUAGUAGAAUUGAAGAGGAUGAUGACAACGAUCCUCAACAAAAAAUUUGUAGAUUUUUUAAAACAAAUAUUAAUAUCAUGUUUUAAAUAAAUAUUUAUAUGGAUAUUUA
rnacentral:lncRNA from 1 species